GGCGUGAGCAUUGAGGAGGUCAUAUCUGAACUGGGGAAUGGCAUCGCUGCCUUACAGUCUGAUGAUUUAGCGAGACGUAUGUAUGAUCUUUCCUGCCUUGAAGAGGACAGGGGGACAUCGAGCUAUGAGAACAAUCAACCGCACACACACGCCAGUCAUCAGCACACUGCAAACACUGACUGACCCACUACAUGGCCAUAUGCAACAUGCAGCCACACAUGAGUCAAACUUUACCCGGCACACAGUGUCAAAUGCACUCGCUAAUAUACCAUCAUCUGUGUUUAUAAAAAUGUGAAACUUCUUGUGCAAAAUGUUUACAAUAAAAAAAGAACGAAACAAUACCAUUUUAUUGGUAACGA